UGUGCACUUCUUGACGGUACCUUAUCAGAAAGCCACGGCUAACUACGUGCCAGCAGCCGCGGUUAUACGUAGGUGGCAUGCGUUAUCCGGAAUUAUUGGGCGUAAAGCGCGCGUAGGCGGUUUUUUAAGUCUGUUGUGUAAGCCCUCGGCUCUAGCGUGGAGGGUAAUUGGAAUCUGGUAAAAUUGAGUGCAGAAGAGGUAAGUGGAAUUCAUUGUGUAGCGUUGUAAUGCGC
rnacentral:rRNA from 1 species